UUGACUGAGUUAUGUAUAAGAAAUGUCUGAGCUAUGACAAAGAAUUGGCUGAGUUAUCAGUAAAAAAAAGUUCGUGUUUCGGCUGAGUUAUGUAUAAUUAUUGUCUGAGUUUUGAUAGAUAUGUCUUUCGUGUUGAACAUUCAUGACGUUUGAAAAUGGUCGGGAAUGAAGCAGUAAGUCGGCCCCACUCAUUAAUUUAUCCUUCUCGAAGAAUAUCCAAGAUCGCCUGCGAGAGGGUGUGUAAAAAUUUGAACCACGUAAAAUUUGUUAUAUCAACAAAGACACUCGCACCUGGUUUUAGAACCGUGGUAGUUAUGGGAGGUCGAGCGUAACAUGUACAUUCUCUCCUUGAUGGAGAGUAAUGGUAAAGACGAGUGAGACGAGAACGAGACGAAGUGAGAGAGAUGAGAGAAAACCAGUAAGCAUGGAGAUAGAUGGCAGAGAUGAGAGUGAAGAAGAGGAAGAUAAAAAGAAGAUUCAUACUGAAAAAAAAAGUGAAGAGAAUGAAAAAAAAAGUGAAAAGAAUUGGCUGAGUUAUCAGUAAAAAAAGUUCGUGUUUCGGCUGAGUUAUGUAUAAUUAUUGUCUGAGUUUUGAUAGAUAUGUCUUUCGUGUUUGAACAUUCAUGACGUUUGAAAAUGGUCAGGAAUGAAGCAGUAAGUCGGCCCCACUCAUUAACUUAUCCUUCUCGAAGAAUAUCCAAGAUCGCCUGCGAGAGG
rnacentral:lncRNA from 1 species